AACAAAAUAAAGGGAACCUAUUACAAGCCAGACUCUGAGAAGGAGCUGUCCUAUAAGCUCCUAUAAGACCAAUACAGCAUUCUGAUGAGAAGAGUCAGAACAUGUUGGGUGGGGGUGAGGAUCCUGGCACUAGGGUUUCCAGCUUCAGUGACACACAGAGAACACUACCUAGUAACUCUCCUGGAGCCUUAUUGUCUUAAGGGGUGGUAAUAUUACCUACCUUGCAGGAACAAAAUGAAGACCAAGCGAAACCAUAGAAAUAAAAACUCUUCAUCAAAAACAGUGUUCUAUAAGGCCAAAAGAUGUCUAAAUGCACCAGCAACAUUCAAUAUCACGGGAGCAGAGGCAGGUAAGCUUUCUGAAGCAUCAGAUUCUUCUCUCCAGCUAGGGAAAGAAGUGCCCUGCUUUCUUUCUAAUGUCGGGUAAGUGGAAUUCAUAUUUAACUAGCAUUUUAUAGCUACAAAGGAUCCAAGGGCUACUCCUGUAAGCACUGGGAGUAUAAAGGUAAAAGACUUGGAUUCCAUAAAUGAUUGCAUUGCACUGCCCAGUCCAAUAGCAAAAGCAGUAGGUCACAGGAGGGACUCCUUACUUUAUAGUAGGCUGUGGAAGCAGAGGGAAAGGAGGAAGCCUAUGACCAAUGAGAGGGGGAAGGGAAUUCUGGACAAACAGCAGCAAAUACCUAGCAACCCAUGUUUAUCUGGCUCAUAACUGUAACCCCAGUACAUUUCUGUCAUCAGAAAAAAAAAAAAAACAUAAACUUUCAAAAGAGAUCAUUCUGAGAUCCAAUUUUUUUGAGCUCUACUUCAAUAGGUAUAAGUGGGGCCAAGAAUCUGAUACUAUAAAAUACCCCCAAUCUGAUACUAUAAAAUACCCCGUGUGCACCCAUGUUUGGGAACCAUCCAUGUGAGGAAUGGAUCAGGGAGUGGGGGUUAGGGGGUUACACCUGGAGACAGGAAAUUAAUUAAUGCACUCUUUCCCCUUCACUGGUAUUGAUGAUGAGGGACCAGACUAAAACAAUGGCAGGGAGGAUGAGGAGGGUGUGAUGUACAAAGAAAGAACCUAAAACCCUUUGAGAUGGGUUGAGGGUGUGGGGAAAGGGAGAAGGAAG